rnacentral:lncRNA from 1 species
UUUUUUACAGUGUAGAGGUUGUACUUUGUAGUUGAAUCAUCUCAACUCUUCUAAAGUGAGCACAAUCCAAGGAAAGUAAAUGCAUAUCAAACCACGAGUAUAAUAAAUCACGGGUAGAUGAAUUAAUAUGCACCUUGAUUGUGUACACUUUACUAGCUACUCAUUUUAGAAGUGCUCUAGGAACUCGAAAAGAAGGAUGUUUUGGUUUAUAAAAGAAGAAUUUAAUCACAUUUGUGGUCUUAUGUAGAGGUUGUACUUUGUAGUUGAAUCAUCUCAACUCUUCUAAAGUGAGCACAAUCCAAGGAAAGUAAAUGCAUAUCAAACCACGAGUAUAAUAAAUCACGGGUAGAUGAAUUAAUAUGCACCUUGAUUGUGUACACUUUACUAGCUACUCAUUUUAGAAGUGCUCUAGGAACUCGAAAAGAAGGAUGUUUUGGUUUAUAAAAGAAGAAUUUAAUCACAUUUGUGGUCUUUUUAGUUUAAAUCAUUUGUGAUGUUAGUUCUUCAACAAUUUUUCCGAUGGAUUUUAGUUUUAAAGUUGUGAUUGGUAUAACUAAUUGUGUUUAAAUUGUUUUAAAUGUUAUACUAAAAAUGUUUAAAUUUUGUGAUUAACA